rnacentral:rRNA from 1 species
UUAUUUGAGAGUUUGAUCCUGGCUCAGGAUGAACGCUGGCGGCGUGCCUAACACAUGCAAGUUGAGCGAUUUACUUCGGUAAAGAGCGGCGGACGGGUGAGUAACGCGUGGGUAACCUACCCUGUACACACGGAUAACAUACCGAAAGGUAUGCUAAUACGGGAUAAUAUAUUUGAGAGGCAUCUCUUGAAUAUCAAAGGUGAGCCAGUACAGGAUGGACCCGCGUCUGAUUAGCUAGUUGGUAAGGUAA